AAAAGGGGGAAAAAAUGGCGGACUGCGUUGUUUGGCGACCCCCGUGAAAUGGUCGUUCGACCCCAAAUGAGGUCCCGACCCACAGGUGGAGAACCACUGGCCUAUGAAAAUGGACGCAAGCCCCCUUGGCGGAGCCAGUUGUUGACGUUGUGUCUUUGGCCAGUCUGUUGCCUCAACGCUUGACAGGGCGCAGAGUUCUUAUUACAGAUAGUCCCCGAUUUACGACAGUUCAUUUAGUGACCGUCCAAAUUUACGAUGGCACUGAAAGUAGCGACUUAGGAUCCUUUUUCACACUUAACGACCCUUGCAGACCACGAUCACGGGAUCAAAAUUCAGAUGUUUGGCAACCGACUCAUACUUACGACGGUCGCAGUGUCCCGGGGGUCAUGUGUUCUCCUUUUGCAACCGUCCGACCGGCCAAGUCGACGGGGAAGAAGUCAGAUUUGGUUAAGAACCGUGUCGCUAAUUUAGCCACAGCAGCGAUUCAUUUAAGGACUGUAGCAAAGGAGGUCGUAAAGCGGGGCAAAACUAACUCACUUAACCAAUGUCUCGCUUCGCAGCAGAAAUUUUGGGCUCUGUUGUGGUCGUAAGCCGAGGACUAAAUGUAAAGUACGGCGAGAGUUCGGGAAACGCCGAUCCUUCACAGCUUCCUGCAAUCUGACGUCCGUCGGUCACAAAGCGAGUCUCCCCUGUUGGAGAAGCUGAUGGCCUCAGAGGUUUUUCUUUCAGAUGAUAUAGGUAGUCCUCAACUUAAUGACCAUUCGUUUAAUGACGGCUCGAAGUCACAACGGCAUUGGAAAAAGCAAGUCAGGACUGUUUUUUUCGCACUUACGACCGUCGCAGCCUCCCAGUGCGUCACGUGAUCAUAAUUCAGACGCUUGGCAACUGACAUGUACUUAUGACGGUGGCAGCGGGUCACGUGAUAAUCCCCUUCGGCGACCUUCUGACAAGCCAAGUCAAGGGGGAAAGCUGGACUCGCUUAACGACCGGGUAACUAACUUAACGACGGCUUAUCAAACGUGGCAGGAAAUGACGUAAAACGGGACAAAACUCCCGUUAGCCUCUGUCCCACUUAGCGACGGAAAUUUCGGUUCUAGUCGUACAUUGAGGACUAGGCGCUUGAACCGCUUAGAGAUGGAAAUUUCAGACUCGGUUCUAGUCGUACGUUGACUAGGCGCUUGAAUUGAACCGCUUAGCAAUGGAAAUUUCAGACUCGGUUCUAGUCGUACGUGGAGGACUAGGCGCUUGAAUUGAACGGCUUAGCAACGGAAAUUUCGGACUCGGUUCUAGUCGUACGUGGAGGACUAGGCGCUUGAAUUGAACGGCUUAGCGACGGAAAUUUCAAACUCGGUUCUAGUCGUACGUGGAGGACUAGGCGCUUGAAUUGAACCCUGCCCGGGGACCGGCUGACGCCAGCCAUCCGUUUCCUUGUUUGCACAAAGGGCGGGCAGCCAUUCUCCGGAGCGUUUGGGCAAUGUGCUUGCCGGCCAAACCCUAACCGAGGUUGACUCUGAAACAAGGUUUGGAUGGUUUCCUUUCUUCGCUUCUUCUCACGGGAGAGCCCUCCCCAGCUGCCCCCUCCUCGAUUUUGCACAGUGGGGCCAAGAACGGGAUUGUACUCCAGGAACUGAGCAAUGUCUCGCCCAGCAUGGCUACCACCCAAGAACUCCAGUGAGCCCUUGGGGCACGUCACUGCAAGGAUGGAGACCACCCACAGUUUUGGGACCCCCAGCAUUUCCGUUUCCACUCAGCAGACCCCCAAAAAGUUCGCUCCGGUUGUGGCUCCCAAGCCGAAAUACAACCCUUACAGGGCAGGAGAAGCAGAAGGUAAGAAUUCUGCGAAUUGCAAAAUUCGUUUUCUCUCUCUCUCUCUCUG